UUUAUAUAUAUGUGUGGUUUCUUGUAGAUGUGUUUUAUAUAUGUGUGGUUUCCUUAUUUGUAGAUGUGUGUUAUAUGCAUGUAUGUACAUAUUUCUUUUUCAACAAAAAUUAAAAAUAUAAACUUAUGCGUUGUGCUUGGUGUAUUUUUAUUUCUGGGUUAUUUUUUAUAAUCUAUUAGGGAGGGGCUUAACCAGGCCUGUAAUAAUAAAGGUCUAGUGUGUCCAAUAGGGAGAUGUCUACCAACAAAUCACAUGUAAGUAAUGAAUUGUGAUGUCAUUGUUUUUUCAUCCAAUUUGAGAAUUCACGUGGGUCUCCUGUUGCUAUUCACAUGUUAAGUAGAGUCGUUAAGCUGUUAACACCCCCCCGCACUUCCCCCACACCUCCCCAUCUCUCCUCCCCCCCUUGGAGGAUUCCGCAUUCGACAGCAUUCAACUGUGGCUGGCGAAACUGCGCUGCCCUGCCAACUGUCGAUUGCCGUCGAUAUCUGUCACUGACUAGCUGCAUUCGCGUCAGAAUACAGGGUCAAAAAUCCCACUUUUCAUCCAGUGACUGUCCUGAAGACCUGGGUGGACAGAGCCUUCACUUCCACUGUCCCCAAGCUCUGGGACACUGUCUCCACGAUCAUUAGAUCUGCUGACAGUGUGGACAGUUUGAAGUCCAAGUUUAGCACCAACUUUUUAAAAUGUCUACUGGUGAUUCUGAUGUUACUGGUCUUCAUCCUUGUAGUUCAUCUUCCUCUUUUAACUUUCUUAUAUGUUCUUGUUUUUCUGCUUUAAGGAAUUUUAAUGUGAAACUUCAGUAUUUUAUUAGUAAAUAUUGCUGGAUGAAUAUUUCCUGCCUUCCUGAUUGUUCCUGGUUCCUCCACAGAGUGGAUCAGCAGAGCUCAGAGGUUACCAGUGGUCCGUCUGCCCAGCAGCAUCAAACACAGCUGGACUCCAUAUUUAUGGAUGAACAGAAGAAGAUCCAAAUAGUUCUGAGCCUAGAAGACCCACAAUGCUCAACAAGUCAGAGUGAGGAUGAGGAGGUUAUGGAGGGUGAGAACGAAGAACAGAGGAGGAGCAGCAGAGAGGCAGUGAUGAAGAUCACACUGAACUUACUGAAGAGGAUGAAGGAGGAGGAGCUGGCUGACCCUCUGCAGAGCACACAUCUUGCUGGUUUUUGCCAACAUCAAAUUAAAUCUGGUCUGAAGAAGAAGGUCCAGUCUGUGUUUGAGGGGAUUGCUAAAGCAGGAAGUCCAACCCUUCUGAACCAGAUCUACACAGAGCUCUACGUCACAGAGGGAGGGACUGGAGAGGUCAA